rnacentral:pre_miRNA from 1 species
CAACUACUCCCUCUAUCCCAAAUUUCUUGUCUUAGAUUUGUCUAGAUAUGGAUGUAUCUAAUACUAAAAUGUGACUUGAUACAUCCUUAUCUAGACAAAUCUAAGACAAGAAUUUUGGGACGGAGAGAGUACUUU